GAAAAGCCUCUAGAUAGAAAAUAGGUGCCCGUACCGCAAACCGACACAGGUAGUCAAGAUGAGAAUUCUAAGGUGAGCGAGCGAACUCUCGUUAAGGAACUCGGCAAAAUGACCCCGUAACUUCGGGAGAAGGGGUGCUCUUUAGGGUUAACGCCCAGAAGAGCCGCAGUGAAUAGGCCCAAGCGACUGUUUAUCAAAAACACAGGUCUCUGCUAAACCGUAAGGUGAUGUAUAGGGGCUGACGCCUGCCCGGUGCUGGAAGGUUAAGAGGAGUGGUUAGCUUCUGCGAAGCUACGAAUCGAAGCCCCAGUAAACGGCGGCCGUAACUAUAACGGUCCUAAGGUAGCGAAAUUCCUUGUCGGGUAAGUUCCGACCCGCACGAAAGGCGUAACGAUUUGGGCACUGUCUCAACGAGAGACUCGGUGAAAUCAUAGUACCUGUGAAGAUGCAGGUUACCCGCGACAGGACGGAAAGACCCCGUGGAGCUUUACUGUAGCCUGAUAUUGAAAUUCGGCACAGCUUGUACAGGAUAGGUAGGAGCCUUUGAAACGUGAGCGCUAGCUUACGUGGAGGCGCUGGUGG
rnacentral:rRNA from 1 species